AUCAAAAGCAUCUCAUUCGCAAAGUUACAUGUUUCUCUGGAGGACUAGUUGCCAAUCUCCUUCAUCUUUCUGGAAUUAAUCGUAUAUAUCAAAUGAAAUUGCUCCAUGUCAAGACCAUCGAAAUUCUACGGUGCAUGCAUCAAGUGUUAGAAAGUGAAGAUAAUCUCAACUAUAGACAACAUAA